UACGUAGGUGGCAAGCGUUGUCCGGAAUUAUUGGGCGUAAAGGGCGUGUAGGCGGCCAAUUAAGUCAGAUGUGAAAUCCCUGGGCUUAACCCAGGAACUGCAUUUGAAACUGAGUGGCUUGAGGACCGGAGAGGGUAGUGGAAUUCCCAGUGUAGCGGUGAAAUGCGUAGAUAUUGGGAGGAACACCAGUGGCGAAGGCGACUGCCUGGACGGCACCUGACGCUGAGGCGCGAAAGCUAGGGGAGCAAACGGG
rnacentral:rRNA from 1 species